CUUAACACAUGCAAGUCGAGGGGUAACGACUCCGUCUUCGGAUGGAGGUCGACGACCGGCGCACGGGUGAGUAACGCGUAUGCAACCUACCUUUUACAGGAGGAUAGCCCAGAGAAAUUUGGAUUAAUACUCCAUAGUACUAAUGAAUCACCUGGUUUAUUAGUUAAAACUCCGGUGGUAAAAGAUGGGCAUGCGUGUCAUUAGCUAGUUGGUAAGGUAACGGCUUACCAAGGCGAAGAUGACUAGGGGUUCUGAGAGGAAGAUCCCCCACACUGGUACUGAGACACGGACCAGACUCCUACGGGAGGCAGCAGUGAGGAAUAUUGGUCAAUGGGUGAGAGCCUGAACCAGCCAUGUCGCGUGAAGGAAGACUGCCCUAUGGGUUGUAAACUUCUUUUCUGCAGGAAGAAAUCACUCUACGUGUAGGGUGUUGCCGGUACUGCAGGAACAAGCAUCGGCUAACUCCGUGCCAGCAGCCGCGGUAAUACGGAGGAUGCAAGCGUUAUCCGGAUUUAUUGGGUUUAAAGGGUGCGUAGGCGGGCUUGUAAGUCAGUGGUGAAAUGCUGUGGCUUAACCAUAGAAUUGCCAUUGAAACUGCAAGUCUUGAGUACAGUUGAGGUGGGCGGAAUGAGUAAUGUAGCGGUGAAAUGCAUAGAUAUUACUCAGAACUCCGAUUGCGUAGGCAGCUUGCUAAACUGUAACUGACGCUGAUGCACGAAAGCGUGGGGAGCGAACAGGAUUAGAUACCCUGGUAGUCCAC
rnacentral:rRNA from 1 species